rfam:Salmo salar isolate Sally breed double haploid chromosome ssa20, whole genome shotgun sequence.
UGUAACAAUGUAGGUAAGGGAAGUUGGCAAAAAAUAUCCGUAACUUCGGGAUAAGGAUUGGCUCUAAGGACUGGGUCGGUUGGGCUGGGGUGUGAAGCGGGGCUCGAGGCCGGCUGAGGGAGCAGUCGCUCCGCAGCCCUCCUCUCGCCACCAUUGGAAGUUCGUUGUGCGGCCCAUCUCGCGGUCUCUCGUGCGUGAUCUCGCACGGGUCUGCGUGCGGGGGUUCGUCGGGGUGGUGUCCGUCGGCGGGCCGGUUGGGAGUUGGGUUCGGCGAUUGGUGGUGGCAACACUGGAUGUGCGCCGGGCCCUUCUAGCGGAUCUCCCCAGCUACGGCGCUCGCCGGCCCCACACAUUGUAGGUUGGGAGGUCUCCUCUACGCUCAGUAGACUUGAGGUGGAGACUAAACCCAUUGGUCCUGCAGUGAUAGGGCAUUGCAUGGAUCUGGCUCAUGCCCUACGAAGUAUCUCCAGCUUGUCUGGAGGGUAAAUUGAUUUGAUUUGCUGCGGAACCAUAAAACGGAUGGAAGAAGCCUAGGUUCCCACUAGGCACGGAUCACUGAAUGUCAACUUGAUGAAAUUCAAAGGAGCGUACCUACCUGUCGCUGUCGCACUCAAAUCACCCUUGGGGUGACUGUGACCCCCUCAUGUCAAAGUGAGGAAUAUCAAUGAAAGCGCUGCUAAAGGUGGCUUCCUAUGGCUCUGUCCCGGAGGGCUGACUGGGCAAGCAAAUGAUUGAAAGGGGAUGAUUAUUUUCUGUUGCUUCUUCCGAAACCCGGGCGAUUGUGCCGCUAGAUACUGCAAUGGAUAGUGAAACCACAGCCAAGGGAACGGGCUUGACGGAAUCAGUGGGGAAGACCCUGUUGAGCUUGACUGUAGUCUGGCACUGUGAAGAGAAAUGAGAGGUGUAGAAUAAGAGGGAGGCCUUGGCCGGCAGUGAAAUAACACUACUUUUGCCCCGGGUGCUCCUGCUGGCGGUACACCUGUCAAACGGUAAUGCAGGUGUCCUAAGGCGAGCUUAGGGAGGACAGAAAUUUCCCGUGGAGCAGAAGGGCAAAAGCUUGUUUGAUCUUGAUUUUCAGUAUGAAUACAGACCGUGAAAGCAGGGCCUCACGAUCCUUAUUAAUUUUGGGCUUUUAUGCAGGUGUCAGAAAAGUUACCACAGGUAUAACUGGCUUGUAGUGGCCAGGCGUUCAUAGUGACGUCGCUUUUUGAUCCUUCGAUGUUGGCUCUUCCUAUCAUUGUGAAGCAGAAUUCACCAAGCGUUGGAUUGUUCACCCACUAAUAGGGAACUGGGUUUAGACCGUCGUGAGAUCGGUUAGUGUUACCCUACUGAUGAUGUGUUGUUGGUUGCAAUAGUAAUCCUGCUCAGUACGAGAGGAACUGCAGGUUCAGAUAUUUUAUGUAUUUGAUUGGCUGAGGAGCCAAUGAUACAAAGCUACCAUCUGUGGGAUUAUGACUGAACCCCUCUACGUCAGAAUCCCCCCUAAACGUAACGAUACCGUAGCACCGCGGAUCUUCUGUUGGCUCGGGAUAGCCUGCCUCGUUUGGCAGGUGAGUAGAGCCGUUUGUGACAGGGUUUGGGUGCGGCCAGAUGAGUUGCCCCCCCUCUUCUGAUGCACAGCCACAUGUUUACGGGGAAGCUGGUGCUAAAUCACUCGUAGACGACCUGAUUCUGGGUCAGGGUUUUGUACGUAGCAGAGCAGCUCACUCGCUGCGAUCUAUUGAAAGUCAACCCUCGAUCCAAGCCUUU